rnacentral:tRNA from 1 species
UUCUAAUAUGGCAGAAUAGUGCAUUGGAUUUAAGCCCCAGAUAUAAAGUUUAGCCUUUUUUUAGAAAAAAA